rnacentral:rRNA from 1 species
UACCACUUUUAGCAACCGAACUCUUGGCUCUCCCAUCCAUGAAGAACCCAACCAAAUGCCAUAAGUAAUGGGAAUUGCAGAAUUCAAUGAAUCAUCCAAUCUUUGAACCCACCCUGCACCCCCUGGGAUUCCCGAAGGGAUGCCCGGUUGAGUGGCAUUA